UUGAGUCGAUUAAGCCUCGAACUAGUUCAAAUAGGAAUUUUAAGGUGAAAUUAAGAGUUUCACAGUUCAGGGAUGACUCAAAAUGGUAAUUCGGAGUUCGAGGAUCAAUUCAGAGUCAAACCGGAAUUUUCACUAUCUAGGGGUAAAAUCGUAAUUUUACCACCCGAGGACGAAAUUGAAUUUUUCGAGAGAAUUUAGAUCAAAUUUGAUUAAAUGGAGCAUGAUAUGAGUAUAAG
rnacentral:lncRNA from 1 species